rnacentral:rRNA from 1 species
ACGCACGCUGGCGGCGUGCUUCACCCCUGCAAGUCGCACGGAAAGGCCCUGCUUUUGUGGGGUGCUCGAGUGGCGAACGGGUGAGUAACACGUGAGUAACCUGCCCUUGACUUUGGGAUAACUUCAGGAAACUGGGGCUAAUACCGGAUAGGAGCUCCUGCUGCAUGGUGGGGGUUGGAAAGUUUCGGCGGUUGGGGAUGGACUCGCGGCUUAUCAGCUUGUUGGUGGGGUAGUGGCUUACCAAGGUUUUGACGGGUAGCCGGCCUGAGAGGGUGACCGGCCACAUUGGGACUGAGAUACGGCCCAGACUCCUACGGGAGGCAGCAGUGGGGAAUAUUGCACAAUGGGCGGAAGCCUGAUGCAGCAACGCCGCGUGCGGGAUGACGGCCUUCGGGUUGUAAACCGCUUUCGCCUGUGACGAAGCGUGAGUGACGGUAAUGGGUAAAGAAGCACCGGCUAACUACGUG